AGCCUUUAUUAUAAUUAUGAUUGUCCGGUUACAGUUAAUGAAAACGCAUUUAAAACUGGAUUACAUCAAUCCAAUAAAUAAGAACAUUUUAAUGCACAAAUGUGGGCUUAAAAUUAUGUCUAAUACUCGUGUGUUGUUUUUAAAAUAACAUUUUUGCAUUUUGUGCAUCGUUUCAGAAUUAUUUUUGCCAUUAACUUGCUAAACAUUUGAAUACAAGUUUUUUUUUUAUUAUUAUUUAAAUAUCCAGUUUUAAUGACAUUGUUUUGUUUUCCAUUGAGGGUGCUUCGUUUAUCGGAGCAAAUAUCUCCAAAUUAUAAACAACAUUCGUGAACUUCAUACAUAAUCAUCAAAUUUAACACAGGCUUCGAUACAUAUGCAGGUUUAUUAGAACAAAAAAAAAAACAGUAUAUACAUUUCCAGCCUCGUUAAUUCUAUGUAAACUUUGGUUAGCAAACAACCUAACUUCACAACAAAACCCCACCCAGUUGUAUAAGCGCGGCCUCAUUGGGCUGUGCGUCUGUAAAUCCCUUCCCUCUUUAAUCGGCUCUUCCCAUUGGACGGCGGUGACGACAAUCCUGAAACGUGCUGCCGCCCACCGAGCGGAUCAAGUUUGAAUGAACAGCAGCAGUCUGCUCCUGAGGUGGUAGUUGCAUUUGCAGUAAUUAUUAAAAGUGUGUAUCGCAUCAUCCGAGCGCCGAUCAAGGAUGGACAUGAAGAAAAGAAUUCACCUGGAGCUGCGGAACCGCACUCCGUCGGACGUCAAAGAGCUUGUGCUGGACAACUGUCGCUCAAACGAAGGCAAGAUCGAGGGUCUAACGGAUGAGUUUGAGGAGCUGGAAUUUCUAAGCACAAUCAAUGUCGGUCUGACAACAGUUGCUCACCUGCCGAAGCUAAAGAAACUCAAAAAGCUUGAACUCAGCGACAACCGGAUCUCAGGAGGACUAGAAGUUCUGGCGGACAAAUGUCCGAACCUCACGCAUCUGAAUCUCAGCGGGAACAAGAUAAAAGAUCUUAGCACAAUAGAGCCAUUGAAAGAAUUGGGGUCCCUGAAAAGCCUCGAUCUGUUCAACUGUGAAGUAACAAAUCUGAACGAGUACAGAGACAACGUGUUCAAGCUCUUACCGCAGCUCACGUACCUAGACGGCUACGACAAAGAAGACAAGGAAGCCCCCGACUCUGAUGCCGAGGUCUACGCCGAGGGCUUAGACGACGAAGACGAAGAUGAAGAUGAAGAUGAUGAGGAAGAGUACGAUGAAGAUGCCCCACCUGGAGACGAGGAAGACGAAGAGGGAGAGGAUGAUGAAGAGGAAAACGAAGAAGAGGAGGAAGAGGACCUGAGUGGGGAGGUGGGUGACUUUUAUUCGAUUACUUGUAUUUUUUUUUUUCAAAUCACAGCAUAGCUGGAGGGAGCCGCUCUCAUUUAUUUCACCCUUUUCUUUGAAUGAAGGAGGAGGAAGAGGAAGACUUGAAUGACAGAGAGGUUGAUGAUGAAGAUGAAGAAGAAGAGCGAGGUCAAAAGAGAAAACGGAACCUGGAUGAAGAAGGGGAGGAAGACGAAGACGACUGAGAGUCCCGCGUAAGCCCAGUUGUGAACUGUUUUAAAACUUGUUUCUCCUGGUCACUUCCCUACAAACCCAAAUACCUCCCUGCCCCCUCCUCCUCCCAGUUUCAUAUUGCAGUAGGAGUGUUUCUUUUGUUUAAUUUUUUUUUGAUUAUUGGCCAGUCAGGUCGACGGGACGGUUUCCCGCACCUCUAAUAAUCCCAUGUUCCAGUCUCUACGGUCCACUUUUACCUGCUUUGUGGACACCUGUUUUGUAAAAGUAAACAAUAGCAGAGAUCAUUAAAAAAAAAACUUUUUUUGAAAAGAAAAUCGCUUUGUUUUCUCACUGUUUAUGUAAGACAAGUUUCAGGUAACUUAUGCAUUUUAAGAGGCUUCCCCUUCAAAAACAAAAAUAAUAAAAAAUAAAAAAAUAGAGUGCAUGUCUUAUACAUUUUAAAGUCAACUACUGGAUUUCAUGUAUGGCUGUCAUUUCCUUGUCUUAAAUGUAUUGUUUUGCAUCAUACUUUUAUUUUUAUUUUUUCUCUUAUGAUGUAAGUUAUGUAUUUGUAGUGUCACCGGUAAGCCAAUACUCUCUGCUGUCCUGGUGUGAACCUUUUUGUCUGAACGUGCACAGUGUGACCCUGGCAGGGCUUUUUUUAAAAGGAAAAAAACAAAACAAAAAAAAAAUGCAACAAAUUAUGGCACCAACAUGUCUGCCUUUGUCAAAGCCGCUCCUCCUCCUGAAACCCUCAGCUUUGAUAGUUCGGAAAUUACGUGUUCUUGUAAAUAAUGACCAAAUCUAUUUUUUUGUAUUCUCUUUGAUGACGGCAGACAUUGAACAGACAACUGAGGUGAAACUAUGAAUUGUAAUAAAAUAUUAAAUAUGUAUGCUGCUUUAUCUAAAAUGCGCAGUGUGAAAUUUCUUGGAUUUGAACUUUAUAUGCAUAAUCUUUCCAUGAGAAGACAAUGUUUGCCAUCAGAACUUAUUGUUUUUGUUUUUUUGUUCGUUUUUUCCCCAUGUUUUUGUUUUUAUCCUCUUUUUAUUUUUCGGGGGCACAUGAAGGUGACCAUAUUUUGAGCUGGUGGUGUUAGUGUAGAGAAGUAAUUGGUGUUAAUUGGAAGUUACAACUGCAGUGCAUACGCAUUUAAAUGUUAUUUCAACGUGUAAAAAAAAAAAUUGGAACAGUCGAUGAAUUGGGCUUUGCUCUCAUAAAUUGCAACAGUGGAAUUGGCCUACCUCGGAAAAGUUUCACUCUGAUAAAUCCAGUGUCAUCAUCCAAAUUUUGUUUCUCAUUUUCUCUCCCAUUCACUUCAAUAAAUCCUUUUUAUAUAAACUA